rnacentral:rRNA from 1 species
AUACAGAGGGUGCAAGCGUUAUUCGGAAUUACUGGGCGUAAAGCGCGCGUAGGCGGAUGAUUAAGUCAGUUGUGAAAGCCCUGGGCUCAACCUAGGAACUGCAUCUGAUACUGGUCGUCUAGAGUUUAAGAGAGGGAAGUGGAAUUCCAGGUGUAGCAGUGAAAUGCGUAGAUAUCUGGACGAACAUCAGUGGCGAAGGCGACUUCCUGGCUUAAAACUGACGCUGAGGUGCGAAAGCGUGGGUAGCGAACGGGAUUAGAAACCCUAGUAGUCC